AAUUUCACAUUCUCUGUGUCUAAGACAAGUCAUGUGGAUAGUUAUUGUAUCAACAUUUCAUGUUCUUAUAAGAUUUGUAACGUAACUCUUCUAAUCAAUAGAAGGGCACAAAAUAAUCAUUAGCCAUAAGAUGAAGAGUUUGUUCCCUGAAAGCCAUAACCUUCUCAAAUUGAGCAUCAUCCUGGAAAAAAUAAUAAGAAAAGAAUAAUAAUCAUUAAGAUAACAAUUGUUCAUUACAUAUUUGCUCAUUUAGGUAGAGGAAUAUGUUGCUUGUG
rnacentral:misc_RNA from 1 species